rnacentral:rRNA from 1 species
AAUAUUGCGCAAUGGGCGAAAGCCUGACGCAGCGACGCCGCGUGAGGGACGACGGCCUUCGGGUUGUAAACCUCUUUCAGCAGGGACGAAGCGAAAGUGACGGUACCUGCAGAAGAAGCACCGGCCAACUACGUGCCAGCAGCCGCGGUCAUACGGAGGAUCCAAGCGUUAUCCGGAAUUACUGGGCGUAAAGAGUUGCGUAGGUGGCAUUGUAAGUUGAUAGUGAAAGCGUUCGGCUCAACCGGAUAAACAUUAUCAAAACUGCAAAGCUAGAGGAUGAGAGAGGUUAUUGGAAUUCCCUGUGUAGGAGUGAAAUCCGUAGAUAUAGGGAGGAACACCGAUGGCGUAGGCAGAUAACUGGCUCAUUCCUGACACUAAGGCACGAAAGCGUGGGUAGCAAAC